AUAAAACUGACCCUUUUCGGAUUAUUAUUAUUCUGAAAAUUAACCGACUGAUCUUCUGGAACGCUAUUAUGAGGAUCACCCUUUGAGGUUUAUAGCAAUAGGUCGCCCUAUGGUCGGUUACAUGAUUUUAUU
rnacentral:sRNA from 1 species